UACAGAGGUCCCAAGCGUUGUUCGGAUUCACUGGGCGUAAAGGGUGCGUAGGCGGUCGGGUAAGUCUGAUGUGAAAUCUCACAGCUUAACUGUGAAACUGCAUUGGAUACUAUCCGGCUCGAGGAAUGGAGGGGAGACUGGAAUACUUGGUGUAGCAGUGAAAUGCGUAGAUAUCAAGUGGAACACCAGUGGCGAAGGCGAGUCUCUGGACAGUAACUGACGCUGAGGAGCGAAAGCGUGGGGAGCGAACAGG
rnacentral:rRNA from 1 species